CCUGCCCUAGAGUGACUGCAGUGUGGCUUCUGUGUCGCAUAUGCAAUCGAAGAUGUCAGAGAAAAGAGAGGUGAUGUCUGCACUCAUUGUUCUGACCUAUGAAUAUCUGAAUGAUUAGUAGCCUAACAUU